CGACUCACAGCCAAUGACUGCCUCUUGCAGGACAAAUUCUAUGGAGGACACACAAAAUAAUUAGUGCAGAGUGCAGAGAGAGCUCUGAGUGUGAAGCUGGAUGUAAUCAGGUGUCAAAACACAGAAACCUGAGGAGAUGAGCACAAAUACACGUCCUGCUGGGCGGAAAGUGUUGCCGUUCUGUGUAUUUCCCUUCCGGCUGCUCGGCAGCUCUUCCUCUCCUUGCCGGCCACCUGAGAGCCAUCAGCAUCUCUCCGGGAUUUUACCGGCUCCCAAAUUCUAGGCUGUAAAGGGCAAAGGAGAGAUUCAUUGACAAGGUCCAAUCCUCUCUUCUGAUUGUCUCAUUAGAAUGCUGACAGCUUAUCAAAAAAGGCCCUCAGGUUGUCACAUAUAAAUCUCAUUUCUAAUUGCUUCUCUGGCAUGAACUCUUCCUGGGGAGCCACUGCAGCUAUCCUUUUCAGGUAAGCAAUACCCAACAGGUAUCCAGGAAAUUGAGGUAGCAGGUAUAGCAAAGACCAGAUCAGAAAAAUAGAGAGAGGCUGACACAGAAGGCUUCAAACACCAGCAAGAGAAGGCUUUGGGG
ensembl:lncRNA